UGGUGGGUAGUUUGACUGGGGCGGUCUCCUCCUAAAGAGUAACGGAGGAGCACGAAGGUUGGCUAAUCCUGGUCGGACAUCAGGAGGUUAGUGCAAUGGCAUAAGCCAGCUUGACUGCGAGCGUGACGGCGCGAGCAGGUGCGAAAGCAGGUCAUAGUGAUCCGGUGGUUCUGAAUGGAAGGGCCAUCGCUCAACGGAUAAAAGGUACUCCGGGGAUAACAGGCUGAUACCGCCCAAGAGUUCAUAUCGACGGCGGUGUUUGGCACCUCGAUGUCGGCUCAUCACAUCCUGGGGCUGAAGUAGGUCCCAAGGGUAUGGCUGUUCGCCAUUUAAAGUGGUACGCGAGCUGGGUUUAGAACGUCGUGAGACAGUUCGGUCCCUAUCUGCCGUGGGCGCUGGAGAACUGAGGGGGGCUGCUCCUAGUACGAGAGG
rnacentral:rRNA from 1 species